GACAAACGCUGGCGGCGUGCUUAACACAUGCAAGUCGAACGGAGCGAUUUAUUUCGGUAAAUCGCUUAGUGGCAAACGGGUGAGUAACGCGUAGGCAACCUGCCCUCAGGAUGGGGACAACGGCUCGAAAGAGCCGCUAAUACCGAAUGACGUACCUUUUUCACAUGGAAGAGAUACUAAAGAUGGGUCAAACCAUCGCCUGAGGAUGGGCCUGCGUCUGAUUAGCCAGUUGGUGAGGUAACGGCUCACCAAAGCAACGAUCAGUAGCCGGUCUGAGAGGAUGAACGGCCACAAUGGGACUGAGACACGGCCCAUACUCCUACGGGAGGCAGCAGUGGGGAAUCUUCCGCAAUGGGCGCAAGCCUGACGGAGCAACGCCGCGUGAGUGAAGAAGGUCUUCGGAUCGUAAAGCUCUGUUGUCGGGGACGAAAGGAAAGGGGAGGCAAUGCCCCUUUUAAGACGGUACCCGACGAGGAAGCCACGGCUAACUACGUGCCAGCAGCCGCGGUAAUACGUAGGCGGCAAGCGUUGUCCGGAAUUAUUGGGCGUAAAGGGAGCGCAGGUGGGACGGUAAGUCUGUCUUAAAAGGCAAGGGCUCAGCCCCUGUAAGGGACAGAAACUAUCGUUCUUGAGUGCCGGAGAGGAAAGCGGAAUUCCCAGUGUAGCGGUGAAAUGCGUAGAUAUUGGGAAGAACACCAGUGGCGAAGGCGGCUUUCUGGACGGCAACUGACACUGAGGCUCGAAAGCCAGGGUAGCGAACGGGAUUAGAUACCCCGGUAGUCCUGGCCGUAAACGAUGGAUACUAGGUGUAGGGGGUAUCGACCCCUCCUGUGCCGGAGUUAACGCAAUAAGUAUCCCGCCUGGGGAGUACAGUCGCAAGACUGAAACUCAAAGGAAUUGACGGGGGCCCGCACAAGCGGUGGAGUAUGUGGUUUAAUUCGACGCAACGCGAAGAACCUUACCAUGGCUGACAUUGAGUGAAAGGGCAGAGAUGUCCCUUAUCUCGGAUACCGAGACAGUGUGCUGCGUGUACCUUCUGAAUGUGGUAGUCGCACACCACCAUUCGUGCACAG
rnacentral:rRNA from 1 species